rnacentral:tRNA from 1 species
AGGCUUUAAGGACUAGGGACACUGCGAUCGCACCGCAGAGGUCAGGAGUUCGAAUCUCCUAUUCUCCA